rnacentral:rRNA from 1 species
AGUGAACGCUGGCGGUAGGCCUAACACAUGCAAGUCGAACGGCAGCACAGUAAGAGCUUGCUCUUACGGGUGGCGAGUGGCGGACGGGUGAGGAAUACAUCGGAAUCUACUUUUUCGUGGGGGAUAACGUAGGGAAACUUACGCUAAUACCGCAUACGACCUACGGGUGAAAGCAGGGGAUCUUCGGACCUUGCGCGAUUGAAUGAGCCGAUGUCGGAUUAGCUAGUUGGCGGGGUAAAGGCCCACCAAGGCGACGAUCCGUAGCUGGUCUGAGAGGAUGAUCAGCGACACUGGAACUGAGACACGGUCCAGACUCCUACGGGAGGCAGCAGUGGGGAAUAUUGGACAAUGGGCGCAAGCCUGAUCCAGCCAUACCGCGUGGGUGAAGAAGGCCUUCGGGUUGUAAAGCCCUUUUGUUGGGAAAGAAAAGCAGCAGGUUAAUACCCCGCUAUUCUGACGGUACCCAAAGAAUAAGCACCGGCUAACUUCGUG